AUACAAUGGUCGGUACAGAGGGUUGCCAACCCGCGAGGGGGAGCUAAUCCCACAAAAGCCGAUCGUAGUCCGGAUCGCAGUCUGCAACUCGACUGCGUGAAGUCGGAAUCGCUAGUAAUCGUGGAUCAGCAUGUCACGGUGAAUACGUUCCCGGGUCUU
rnacentral:rRNA from 1 species